rnacentral:misc_RNA from 1 species
CUCUCUCAAACCUUUGGGUUUGGUAUUGAGUGAUACUCUUAGUCAGACUAAGCGUUUGCUUGAAAAGUAUUGGCAAGGGUGUGCUGGAUAGUACGUCAAAUUAUUCAAUGUAUUAGGUUUAUCCAACUCGUUGAACGAUCUGGUGUAAAUUUCUGGUUACUGGCUCGGCCUUACAACAACAAACAA